AAGUGAGGCAGCAGGCAAGCAGCACCAAGUUGCUGUGUAAGCAGGUGAGUUGUGUUGAGGUUCCUCAGGCAGGCACUGAGGACUUGGAGGGCUCCAGACAGAGCAGACCUGGGAAGGCCCUCGGUGAAGCCCCUUGGAAACCUUCUAAGGGUAGGUGUGUAUGGUGAUAAGUGUUGGGAUUGUCCUGAAUGUGGAACAGGAAUGCACGGAAGGAAAAUAAAUCCUCUCCUAAUGCUGCCAUAUCAGCUGCACUGGAGACACCUGUGUGUGCCCUUUGGGAGCUGAUUGUCAAGGCACCCGGUGGGCUGGGAUAAUUCAAUAUCAUAGAAAUAAAAGAUUGCCUGGCUUAUACAAGUUGUAAAUUGAGUCUUAGAGGCUCCUUUGAAGAGCUGAUUUCAGGCAGCAGAAUUGCCCCCCAGGAGGGACUCUGUGCCUGCUCUCCCGUGGCUCCAAGGGAUCUCUGGCCCUUCACGCCGGCACCGAGAUUUUCUCGGGAAGGGCCUCAGAUCCCCGGACCAGUCUGGGACACAGGCAAGAUCCCCCUGCAUUUUGGGACCAAAUUGGCCCCCUGGAGGGACAGUGCUGUUGGUGCCCCCCGGGUUGGGGCACCCCGAGGACUCCAGCGCGCACCGAAAGGAUUAUUCGGGGAGAUCCUCGGGGUGCCCGGCCCUGGGGAGCUCAAAGCAAGGUCCCUGCAAUGGAUUCAGGCAUUGCUGAGAGUAUCCCAGGUGUAGCUGUCCAUGCUAGACAUGGAGCUCUCUAAUGGACUGUAAUUGGGUUCUAAAAGUGGUGCUCCAACUGCAAAGGAAGUGUGGGAUUGGGAUUAAGAAAUGAGCAGUGAUGGUCCAAUUGGCUGUUUUCUCUGGAAUGUGACUGUGAGAGCUGCAGGAGUGCCAGGUGUGUGUUCCAGUCCCCAGCAUUUGGUUUGCACAUGUCCUGGUCAGACACAGGUCCAACUUCCUCAGUCCUUAACCCAAGAGAAGGAGAAUUAAGGACUGGCAGUGUUAAGGUGAUUGAUGUGACAGGGGUUAAACUGGGAAAACAUUGGGUGAUUCCUCACUUUGUCUAUUUACCAAACUCACCAAAAUCUCUGCUAGGAAGGGAUUGACUGGAAAAGUUGAGGCAGAAAUGCAAUUGAAAACUGGGGCUAUUGAAAAUGUAAUUGCUGAAACUAAAUGUGUCCAAGCAGCAGCUCUUGUUGUGCAGGGAAUAACUCCUGUCAGCAGCAAGGCCCCCACUGAAGUGGCAGCUGCAGUUGUUCCUGUGGUGUGGGCCAGUGGAGCUGCAGGAGAGUGGAAGAGGGCAGAACCUGUAGGUAUUACCCCUGAUGUGGGAUCUCUAUGGGUAAGGCCAACCCAGUAUCCUUUAAAAUCAGAAUGCCAGACUGGAUUGGUUGCAGGAACAGCUAAAUUGGCUCCUCCUGGUUUGCUUGUAGGACGUGAAUGCAAGAACCUGCCAAGAAAACCAGUGGACAAGAUGAUUGAUUAGUGCAGGACCUGAGAGAAGCACCUUGAAUGACAACCUGGAGGAGUUUCCAGUAUUGGAUUUAAAAGAUGGCCUUUGCUGCAUCUCCUUGAGCAAGGAAAGCCAAGAAACCUUUGCCUUUGAAGAAGAAAAUCCAAAAACAGGACGGAAGAAAAGAAGCCCCCUGAUUCCUCCCUGAGCCCCAGACAGCCCAUGAAUUGCCUUGCUGGGAAUAGAAGGACAGGAUGGACUCUGGAUUGCUCCCUCUGCAUGUGUGGUAGGACUGUUAUACAAACUUGGCCAACAGCCUGUAAAAAUUUGCUGCCUUGGAUAGGUGGUGCACGGGCAGCCUUUAAGCAGCUAAAGCAUUCCCUGAGGAGAGCUCUGGGUCUGCCAGAUCUCUCAGAACUGUUGGAAGCAUCUUUGGUGGGGAGGGCAAACAAAGGACAAGGUGUGCAGUGACCCCCCAACAAGGGACUUUGAGUUAAUGGCAUCCCUGCAAGUGAACUUUGUGGGCUGUUCCCCCUGUAGGGCAGGUGAUAGUCCCAGCUCCAGUGAUGGGAAAAAUGGGUAAAAGGGAGCCCCAAAAGCUGGAAAUCCUCCUGGAGGCUCUUGGCAAAGAGGGUUUCCUGAGUUGCCCCUGAAAGAAGGAUAGUGACAGCUUUUGAGUGCUGGUAGAUGCUUUUAAUAGAUAGCCUUGAGUGUGUCCUUGUUGCACCAUUAGGCUUUGUCCAAGUCCCCAUAUUCCAGGAGAUAUACCUAUUGAAGUUUAAAAUGAUCUCCAUAAUCCUUUGUUGGCUUGAGGCUCUCCCCUCAGGAACUGCAGGAACUCCUGGUGCCGCCUGGGCCGAUGGAUUGGACGCCCCAGCCCCUCCGUUCCUGCCCGGCCACUGGGGCCGUGUCCAGUGGUGGCACUGCCAGCCCUGCAGUGGGAUGGAGCCUGGAAAGUGCACAGAGCUGAGCCCAGGGAUUGAAAGGGACCAAGCAAGGGAGGUGAAGAAAGAAGGAAGAAGGGAAGUGAGGCAGCAGGCAAGCAGCACCAAGUUGCUGUGUAAGCAGGUGAGUUGUGUUGAGGUUCCUCAGGCAGGCACUGAGGACUUGGAGGGCUCCAGACAGAGCAGACCUGGGAAGGCCCUCGGUGAAGCCCCUUGGAAACCUUCUAAGGGUAGGUGUGUAUGGUGAUAAGUGUUGGGAUUGUCCUGAAUGUGGAACAGGAAUGCAAGGAAGGAAAAUAAAUCCUCUCCUAAUGCUGCCAUAUCAGCUGCACUGGAGACACCUGUGUGUGCCCUUUGGGAGCUGAUUGUCAAGGCACCCGGUGGGCUGGGAUAAUUCAAUAUCAUAGAAAUAAAAGAUUGCCUGGCUUAUACAAGUUGUAAAUUGAGUCUUAGAGGCUCCUUUGAAGAGCUGAUUUCAGGCAGCAGAAUUGCCCCCCAGGAGGGACUCUGUGCCUGCUCUCCCGUGGCUCCAAGGGAUCUCUGGCCCUUCACGCCGGCACCGAGAUUUUCUCGGGAAGGGCCUCAGAUCUCCGGACCAGUCUGGGACACAGGCAAGAUCCCCCUGCAGUUUAGGACCAAAUUGGCCCCCUGGAGGGACAGUGCUGUUGGUGCCCCCCGGGUUGGGGCACCCCGAGGACUCCAGCGCGCACCGAAAGGAUUAUUCGGGGAGAUCCUCGGGGUGCCCGGCCCUGGGGAGCUCAAAGCAAGGUCCCUGCCAUGGAUUCAGGCAGUGCUGAGAGUAUCCCAGGGGUCCCUGUCCCUGCUAGACAGGGAGCUCUCUAAUGGGCUGUAAUUGGGUUCGAAAAGUGGUGCUCCAAGUGCCAAACAAGUGUGGGAUUGGGAUUAAGAAAUGAGCAGUGAGGGUGCAAUUGGCUGUUUGCUCUGGAAUGUGACUGUGAGAGCUGCAGGAGUGCCAGGUGUGUGCUCCAGUCCCCAGCAUUUGGUUUGCACAUGUCCUGCUCAGACACAGGUCCAACUUCCUCAGUCCUUAACCCAAGAGAGGGAGAAUUAUGGACUGGCAGUGUUAAGGUGAUUGGUGUGACAGGGGUCAAACUGGGAAAACACUGGGGAAUUCCUGAGUUUGUCUCUUUGCCAAACUCACCCAAACCUGUGCUAGGAAGAGAUUGAUUGGGAAAGCUGAGGCAGAAAUUAAAUUGAAAACUGGGUCUAUUGAAACUGUAAUUGCUGAAACUAAAUGUGUCCAAGCAGCAGCUCUUGUUGUGCAGGGAAUAACUCCUGUCAGCAGCAAGGCCCCCACUGAAGUGGCAGCUGCAGUUGUUCCUGUGGUGUGGGCCAGUGGAGCUGCAGGAGAGUGGAAGAGGGCAGAACCUGUAGGUAUUACCCCUGAUGUGGGAUCUCUCCUGGAUGUGAAUGCAAGAACCUGCCAAGAAAAGCAAUGGCCAAGGGGAUUGAUUAGUGCAGGACCUGAGAGAAGCACCUGAAAUGACAACCUGGAGUACUUUCCAGUAUUGGGUUUAAAAGAGGGUCUUUGCUGCAUCUCCUUGAUCAAGGAAAGCCAAGAAACCUUUGC